rnacentral:rRNA from 1 species
UACGAAGGGGGCUAGCGUUGCUCGGAAUCACUGGGCGUAAAGGGUGCGUAGGCGGGUCUUUAAGUCAGGGGGGAAAUCCUGGAGCUCAACUCCAGAACUGCCCUUGAUACUGAAGAUCUUGAGUUCGGGAGAGGUGAGUGGAACUGCGAGUGUAGAGGUGAAAUUCGUAGAUAUUCGCAAGAACACCAGUGGCGAAGGCGGCUCACUGGCCCGAUACUGACGCUGAGGCACGAAAGCGUGGGGAGCAAACAGG